rnacentral:rRNA from 1 species
GACGAACGCUGGCGGCGUGCUUAACACAUGCAAGUCGAACGGAAAGGCCCUGCUUUUUUGGGGUGCUCGAGUGGCGAACGGGUGAGUAACACGUGAGUAACCUGCCCUUGACUUUGGGAUAACUUCAGGAAACUGGGGCUAAUACCGGAUAGGAGCUCCUGCUGCAUGGUGGGGGUUGGAAAGUUUCGGCGGUUGGGGAUGGACUCGCGGCUUAUCAGCUUGUUGGUGGGGUAGUGGCUUACCAAGGCUUUGACGGGUAGCCGGACUGAGAGGGUGACCGGCCACAGUGGGCCUGAGAUACGGCCCAGACUCAUACGGGAGGCAGCAGUGGGGAAUAUUGCACAAUGGGCGGAAGCCUGAUGCAGCAACGCCGCGUGCGGGAUGACGGCAUUCGGGUUGUAAACCGCUUUCGCCUGUGACGAAGCGUGAGUGACGGUAAUGGGUAAAGAAGCACCGGCUAACUACGUG